CUGAGAACAGAGAGAACAAGAUCUGUGCAGCUCUCCGGUCCACCGACACGUCUUACCGGAUUCUCUGCCUGGAAACAUCGAGCGGUGAUCAGAACCGGCGGCUGACGGACGGACGGAGCUCCGUUAGCUGCGACUGAGGAUAAAAACGAUGGGAUCCGAUCACAGUCGAGAGAAAGAAGCUGAAGAGAAACGAGAUGAAACUGAAAAACACCAGAAAGCCGAGGAACCUGAAGGCAGCACGGAGUCUGAAGAGACUCCUGCAGAGCUGCCCCAGUGCAUGAUGGGAAACAGGAGGGUGGACAACAUGUGCUUCAUGAUCUCCUGCACCAACUGGUACUGAACCAGUAAAACCAGUCUGAAGGUGGAAGCAGGAGUUCUGAGACGCUGCCUUCAGGAACCGUUGGAAAAGCCAAAACAAAGACGUCACCCCUUUUUUUUUCUCUACUUCUUCACACAUCAGCUCAUUAAUUUAUUUAGUUCAUUUUUGAUUUCAUUUUCACUUUAUUUUUUAGAUGUUUUCUGUAAUUAAAAAAACAGGAAUAAUGUGUAAAAUAACAGGUUAAUUUUCUUUUUUCUUGAUUUAAAUACAGUAGAAAUGAUGUGAAUUUACAGUCAAAUGUUGUAAAAUGUUUAUUUUUCAAUAAAAAUACUGAUUUUGAUGUGGA